UCAUAUAUAAUAUUUAAUUUGCUUACACGGAUCGCGAGAAGCAAUAUUGCGUUGUGUCGAUUAUUCUGUUAAGAUUAGUUAACGUAAUAUUAUAAAACUUUUCAUAAUUGGAAUUGGUAACUCGAAUUAAUGUCGAAGAAACCGAAUUAUCAUCACUCCUUCCUCUAUUGUCAUUUAAGCUCUGCAAUACAACAUCGCAUUUGUAUAACUCGUAGAAAAAUGCGACCUUCUCGUUAUUCACGUGAUGUCAAUAAUUACAUUACAGAUGCUCAAUUUCUUUAUGUACCAAUGAUUCUUGUUUUUUUUUAGUAUUUAAAGUUAAGAAAUCGCCUACCGUUACAUUAAAAUAUAGCUCGUUAAUAUUUAAAUUUAAAGCAUAUUUCUACCUUAAAGUAAAAAUUAAAAUUUCUAAAGCUGGUAGCACAGAGUUAAAACACUCGAUUUUCGCACUUAGUGAAGGAAUGUUGUGGAUAGUUCUUAAACGAUGAUACUUCUCCGCUAUGAAGAUAACAUUAAUCAAAAUUUAAAUUAAGAAAAUUUAAAAAGCAUUUAGUAUCAUUAGGUUUUCUUAUGCUUCAAAAUUUAAA